rnacentral:misc_RNA from 1 species
GAGAGAGAGAGUCUCUUGCAUUUUGCUCUUUCGUUGACAGCAAUGUAUGAUUAGAACAAAAAUAAUUUUCUUUGGAAAAAAGAAAAAUGAAAAGGAAAGGGAGAGAUAUUUUUUUGUCCAAAUUAGAAGAAGAUUCUUUAAGCAUUUUAUUUCUUUCAAUUCCGUUCGGUUUCCACCAGAAUUUACCAUCAGAUUUCUAUCAAUUUCUGCGUGUAUUUUGCUGUUGAAUUUCAGUUUCGGUUUUGAAGCAUUUUUCAGCUGAAACUGCGCGUUAAUUUCCAUAAUUCAGAUAAAAGUGAAGUUAAUUCUGGAAUUGGAUAGUGUGAGAGAGAAUUUUCUCGGGGGAAAAAAAAUUCAAAAGAGCACUUCAAUUACAGCAACUGGGAAUCGGCGUCUUAAGUUCAAAUCCAGAGCUCAAUUUGCUUUGGAAAGUAAAUGCAGUUCCGAUCUCAGGCGAGUCCUGACAUCUCUUAAAGUGUUCUGCUUUGGCUCGAGAAACGGAUCUGACAACAAGGAGAAGAAUUUACAAGAAGGGAAAAAAAAUCUCUAGUUUUCAAAAUCUGGAAUUCUGGUCCAUUUCCAGAAUCUCUACAGUUUCAUAAAAUAGUCCAGACAUAUUAAUCACCGGAAUUGCUCGAAUCAAUUUUCUUUUUCCAAAAAGGAAAAAAAAGUUGUUGAAUUUAUCAAAAAUAUCUCAGUCGUGGAUGGAGCUUCCUCAACAACAUCGUCUCUUCGAAACCGAAGGAAGGAAAGCAACACACGAUUUUCUCUCACUGUACAGUCAUUCAGCUGUCCAACAAGAUCCAAGGCCACCUUCUCAAGGUUACCUCAAGACUCAUGAUUUUCUACAACCACUGGAACGGGUAGGGAAGAACGCUGCCAAAGAAGAAACCACCGGUGAGAUUUCAUACAUUGAAAAGGCGCCGCCUCCCCCACCACCACCCUCAGUGGAGCACAUUCUCCCUGGUGGCAUUGGAACUUACAGUAUUAGUCACAUUUCCAAUUAUUUCAAUCAAAGAAUCCCGAAGCCAGAGGGUAGCACAAUAUUCACCGUAGCUCAAGCAAGUAGUACAGAUAAAAAUGAGGAGCAUUCCAACUGCAGUUCUUAUACCGGAAGUGGAUUCACUCUGUGGGAAGAAUCUGCAUUGAAGGUAAAGCCAGGGAAGGAGAAUGACGGAGAAAGAUCCGACACUGUAAGAGAGUCGGGGGCGGCGAAGGCGCUGCAUUGGACGUCAUCUGAGAGGCCAUCACAGUCGUCAACGAACACUCAUCGCAAUAGUUUCAGCUCUCUUUCUUCCUCCCAACCAUCAGGGCAGAAUGGCCAGAGCUUUAUAGAAAUGAUAAAAUCAGCAAAAGUUAGUUCCCAGGAUGAUAAUUCAGAUGACGAGGAGGAGUUCAAUCUUAAGAAAGAAAGCCCUUCACUUAUGCGUAAAGGGGAAUUGAGGGUAAAAGUGGAUGGAAAGCGCACCGAACAGAAAGCUAACACGCCACGAUCAAAACAUUCUGCCACUGAGCAACGGAGGAGGAGCAAAAUAAAUGAUAGAUUUCAGAUGUUGAGAGAACUCAUUCCACACGGCGACCAAAAGAGAGACAAGGCAUCUUUCCUUUUAGAGGUUAUAGAGCACAUUCAGUUUUUACGGGAAAAAGUACAAAAAUAUGAAGGGUCUUACCAGGGAUGGAACCAUGAACCUGCAAAAUUGGUGCCAUGGGUGAACUUAUAUAUUUGCCUUGUCAUGACUGAAUUACUGCUGGUUAUCACUGUAACAUAAUAGUUGACCUGCCCUUUGUUUAAAACAGGGAAACGGUAACAGGCCUACAGAAAGUUAUAUCGAUCAAUCUCGUGGGAUGAAUAGUGGUGCUGGUCCUGAAUUAGUAUCUACUGCAAAGUUAGACGAGAAAAAUAUCACCCUCUCUCCAACCAUUCCGGGAAGUACACAGAACCCAGUAGAAUCUGAUAUGAGGUCGGCUACUGCCUUCAAACCGUUGGAUCACCGUCCUGAAAUGACAAAUAAAGCGAUGCCUUUUCCUAUGGCACUGAAGCCAAACUACUUCAAUUCUGGUAGAAGUGGUGAUGCAGUGGCUCAAGUUUCACCGAGGCUGGUAUCAGAUGCCGAGAACGGGGCAUAUCAACCUCAAACCCCAUCACAUCAUGUCAGAUCAUGUAUCAGUGACGGAGGUGUUGCCGGUGAUAAGCUGAAAGAACAGGAGCUGAGCAUUGAAGGUGGUACAAUUAACAUCUCAAGUGUGUACUCACAAGGGUGAGUUUAUGUUUACAGUUCACACUUGUUUAGUUUGUGGAUGUCCUUGCUUAGAAUUCGAACCUCUCUUGGGUUUUUGCAUUUUCGUGGAUUCUAAAGCUGUGGUUUAUGUUCAAUUUCCAUCGGAAAAGUUAGUAUAUUUAGAUCUUCUAAGAAAAUCACCAAACUAAAUUACAUCUUCUGGCUACUUAGGGGUCGGAAAUUUCUAGUCUAGUUUUCAAAUGCAUGUUUGCUUAUUGAUCUCGUCCUUCGAUUGUUUACCUCUGCCUGCAUGUUUAUAUUAGACAAUCCCUAGUAAGGGCUAGAGAUUACACAUGGUACUACCACAUUCUGAGAUAUUGAAUCUUCAUCUAUAUAGCUUUUAUUGCGGUUGCAUUAGUCCUGUUAAGAAAGGUUAGAAGACACUUUUGGCCAGGGCUCUUUAUAUGACUUGUUUCUCAUUUAUCCUAAAGUUGUAUUUAGUGGACAGCCUACUCCUUCGCCAUAAGAAUAUGACAUACUCAUUUGUCAUUAGGUUCACAAUAACAGUGUUAUUUCCAAAUAUUUAGAAAAUUGUGCUAAUUCUUACAUAAAAAAAAAAGAAAGAAAAACUCUCUACAGUUGACCAAACAAUUUGAUUGCUUUGCAUAUUUAUACUUCCACAAUCCAUCUGGAUAGGCUUGGCACUAAGCUGUAGACUAAACGACUAGUCGUUUUCCCAUCAUGCAAAACUUUCUCUGCAGUCCUCUAUCAAGGGUUUAGGUUGCAUACUGGGUUAAAUAACAGACAUAAUAUGGCAUUAUGCAGGUUGCUAAAUACUCUGACACAGGCACUGCAGAGUUCUGGAGUAGAUUUGUCGCAGGCCAGCGUCUCAGUGCAAAUUGAGCUUGGAAAGCGAGGAAAUAGAAGACCAAUUAUUCCAGCAUCCAUUGUUAAGGAUAAUGAGGUUCCCUCAAGCAACCAAGGGACAAUACGGCCAAGAGUAUCAAGCGGAGAGGAAUCCCAUCAAGCCUCAAAGAAGAUCAAGACAAGUAAAAGUUAGUACAGAAGUGUCAUAAUAUUUCUCUUUUUUUUUUUCCCUUAAUUUAUUCAUUUUUUUUGAUAGCCUGUGUCGUCAUGGGAGUUUAUGCAUGUCUUUUCCUGGUUUAUAUAAACUACCCAGUUGAGAGCAAGACGAUUGUACAUGUAUAGGUUUUUUGUGUUUGUUGGAAUGCACAGAAUUCCUAACAAACGAAUUUGUAUUAUUCAUUUUGUUUUUGUGUAUCCUCAUAUAGGCUUUUCCAUAUUCUAACGCUGAGAAGCAGUUUUUUCACUAAAUCUUCCAUUCUUGUGAAGUAUCUAAACCAUUUAACUUUUAUUCUUAUCGACAAUUUGACAUCAUUUUGUAUUAGAUAUUGUACUUAUCUGAUGAACUUGUGCAUAUAUAUAAAUGUUUAGAAAAUAAAAAUAAU